rnacentral:rRNA from 1 species
CCUACGGGUGGCAGCAGUGAGGAAUAUUGGUCAAUGGACGAGAGACUGAACCAGCCAAGUAGCGUGAAGGAUGACUGCCCUAUGGAUUGUAAACUUCUUUUAUAAAGGAAUAAAACGCGGCACGUGUGCCUUUUUGCAUGUACUCUAUGAAUAAGCAUCGGCUAACUCCGUGCCAGCAGCCGCGGUAAUACGGCGGAUCCGAACGUUAUCCGGGUUUAUUGGGGUUAAAGGGAGCGUCGAUGGGUUGUUAAGUCAGUUGUUAAAGUUUGCGGCUCAACCGUAAAAUUGCAAUUGAGACUGGCUGUCUUGAGUACAGUUGAGGUAUGCGGGAUGCGUGGUGUAGCGGUGAAAUGCUUAGAUAUCACGAAGAACCCCGAUUGCGAAGGCAGCUUACUAAACUUUGACUGACACUGAUGCUCGAAAGUGUGGGUAUCAAACAGGAUUAGAUACCCUAGUAGUC